rnacentral:tRNA from 1 species
AAAAAGAUAAGCUAAUAAAGCUAAUGGGUUCAUACCCCGUUUAUAAAGGUUAUAGUCCUUUUCUUAUUA